rnacentral:miRNA from 10 species
UUAGGUUGGUGCAAAAGUAAUUGCGGUUUUUGCCAUUGAAAGUAAUGGAAAAAAACACAAUUGUAUUAUUGCACCAACCUAAUAUAA